GAUGAACGCUGGCGGCGUGCUUAACACAUGCAAGUCGAACGAUUAAAGCCCCUUCGGGGGUGUAUAGAGUGGCGAACGGGUGAGUAACACGUGAGCAACCUACCUUCUGUACUGGGAUAACUCGAGGAAACUCGUGCUAAUACCGGAUACUCCGUCUGCACCGCAUGGUGCGGGCGGGAAAGCGCAUACGACAGAAGAUGGGCUCGCGUCCCAUUAGCUAGUUGGUAGGGUAAUGGCCUACCAAGGCGAUGAUGGGUAGCCGGGUUGAGAGACCGACCUGCCACAUUGGGCCUGAGACACGGCCAAACUCCUACGGGAGGCAGCAGUGGGGAAUUUUGCGCAAUGGGCGAAAGCCUGACGCAGCAACGCCGCGUGCGGGAUGAAGGCCUUCGGGUUGUAAACCGCUUUCAGUAGGGAAGAUUAUGACGGUACCUACAGAAGAAGCUCCGGCUAACUACGUGCCAGCAGCCGCCGUAA
rnacentral:rRNA from 1 species